rnacentral:rRNA from 1 species
UACGUAGGGCGCAAGCGUUGUCCGGAAUUAUUGGGCGUAAAGAGCUCGUAGGUGGUUUGUCGCGUCGUCCGUGAAAACCUGCAGCUCAACUGCAGGCUUGCGGUCGAUACGGGCAGGCUCGAGUUCGGUAGGGGAGACUGGAAUUCCUGGUGUAGCGGUGAAAUGCGCAGAUAUCAGGAGGAACACCGGUGGCGAAGGCGGGUCUCUGGGCCGAUACUGACGCUGAGGAGCGAAAGCGUGGGGAGCGAACAGG